UACGUAGGGUGCGAGCGUUAAUCGGAAUUACUGGGCGUAAAGCGCGCGCAGGCGGUCUGUUAAGUCCGAUGUGAAAUCCCCGGGCUUAACCUGGGAACUGCAUUGGUGACUGGCAGGCUUUGAGUGUGGCAGAGGGAGGUAGAAUUCCACGUGUAGCAGUGAAAUGCGUAGAGAUGUGGAGGAAUACCGAUGGCGAAGGCGACUUCCUGGCCUGUUCUUGACGCUGAGGCGCGAAAGCUAGGGUAGCAAACGGG
rnacentral:rRNA from 1 species